CCUACGGGAGGCAGCAGUGGGGAAUUUUGGACAAUGGGCGCAAGCCUGAUCCAGCAAUGCCGCGUGAGUGAAGAAGGCCUUCGGGUUGUAAAGCUCUUUUGUCAGGGAAGAAACGGUCUACUCUAAUACAGUGGGCUAAUGACGGUACCUGAAGAAUAAGCACCGGCUAACUACGUGCCAGCAGCCGCGGUAAUACGUAGGGUGCAAGCGUUAAUCGGAAUUACUGGGCGUAAAGCGUGCGCAGGCGGUUAUAUAAGUCAGAUGUGAAAUCCCCGGGCUCAACCUGGGAACUGCAUUUGAGACUGUAUGGCUAGAGUGUGUCAGAGGGGGGUAGAAUUCCACGUGUAGCAGUGAAAUGCGUAGAUAUGUGGAGGAAUACCGAUGGCGAAGGCAGCCCCCUGGGAUAACACUGACGCUCAUGCACGAAAGCGUGGGGAGCAACAGAUAGAUACCUACGGUAGUACCACCGACCCUAAACCGAACUAGUCUACUAGUUGUUCGGGUACGUUAAUUAGUUCGUUGGUAACG
rnacentral:rRNA from 1 species